AUGUCAUCUCAAGAAGAUACCAUGAAGAAAGUCUUCCUUAACUUGACCAAUGGCUGUUUUGAGGCUGCCAAUUUCCAGAUGUCCUUGAGUGGAAGAAAGAACCUUCAUAACCAUAAAAUAAAUAAAGGAGCAAGCAUUCAGUCCUUCAGUCCUAAAAACACCUGUGGAAACACUGGUGAUACAAUAACCCCACAACUCUGCCCUUCUCUGUUCCUUUGAAGCUCCAACAUUAUUACAAGGCUGUCUUAUUGAGGUCCAGAACCAACCACAUGACACGGAUCAUUCUCAAGAGAGAUCAACCGAAGAUCAUUGCCAGCAUGACAAAUAGCAUGUCUGCACAAUGCCAAAUGGCUAUACUACAGUAAUAUACAUAUAGUGCACUUAUAUGGGGAGAAAAAUGCUGGGGAGUAAAGUCCAAUAAGUCAAAGAUCUGGCUGGAUCCCCAGAGCAGUUCUGCUGCACCACACUAUACUGCUGAACCAGUAACUGUUCCUAUCCUUGUACCCAUAAAUCAGUGAUAUCAAUGUCUAUCUGGAGAAAAAUGUGAUCUCAAAACUCAGAGGAGCUGAUUUUAGCAAACUCCAGAAAGCUGUCAGAGGUAAGUCAGUAUGGCAUUUGUCACAGGGACAGCUGGCUCUGUGGAGACUGUUAUGACACUGCUCUCUCAUGGCAGCAAGUUCACAUCUCUUUUUGGAGUCUUGGGUUUUCCUGAAGACACCUUAAGGGCAUAAAGUAGUCUUUUGCAUGAGUUCUCAAGAGUGAACUCGAAGUGGAGUCAGAUCUCUAUAUUAGAGUGAUAUAUAUAUCGGUUAUAAUACAAAAUUAUUAUAGAUAAAUUAGGAUAACAAAAUUGCAGCGUUUUCCUCAUUCAGUUAAUUAUCUCCAUAUUACCAACCCAAAACUUUCAUAAGUCAUGAACCUGGCUUUCCAAUGAUUGUCUUAAAGUUGAUGAGAUUUUUAAAAAUUACUGAGGUUUGGAUUUUAGCUGGUCAGUACAUAUUAAUAUUAUAUUGUCAGGAAACAUGUCUAGAAGGAAACUAACUUUAAAAAAUAAAAAAGCACAAAAUGGCA
rnacentral:lncRNA from 1 species